GAUGAACGCUGGCGGCGUGCCUAAUACAUGCAAGUAGAACGCUGAAGCUUGGUGCUUGCACCGAGCGGAUGAGUUGCGAACGGGUGAGUAACGCGUAGGUAACCUGCCUCUUAGCGGGGGAUAACUAUUGGAAACGAUAGCUAAUACCGCAUAAAAGACGAUAUCGCAUGAUAUUGAUUUGAAAGGUGCAAUUGCAUCACUAAGAGAUGGACCUGCGUUGUAUUAGCUAGUUGGUGAGGUAACGGCUCACCAAGGCAACGAUACAUAGCCGACCUGAGAGGGUGAUCGGCCACACUGGGACUGAGACACGGCCCAGACUCCUACGGGAGGCAGCAGUAGGGAAUCUUCGGCAAUGGGGGCAACCCUGACCGAGCAACGCCGCGUGAGUGAAGAAGGUUUUCGGAUCGUAAAGCUCUGUUGUAAGUCAAGAACGAGUGUGAGAGUGGAAAGUUCACACUGUGACGGUAGCUUACCAGAAAGGGACGGCUAACUACGUGCCAGCAGCCGCGGUAAUACGUAGGUCCCGAGCGUUGUCCGGAUUUAUUGGGCGUAAAGCGAGCGCAGGCGGUUUGAUAAGUCUGAAGUUAAAGGCUGUGGCUCAACCAUAGUUCGCUUUGGAAACUGUCAAACUUGAGUGCAGAAGGGGAGAGUGGAAUUCCAUGUGUAGCGGUGAAAUGCGUAGAUAUAUGGAGGAACACCGGUGGCGAAAGCGGCUCUCUGGUCUGUAACUGACGCUGAGGCUCGAAAGCGUGGGGAGCGAACAGG
rnacentral:rRNA from 1 species